rnacentral:rRNA from 1 species
CACCGCGGUUAUACGAGAGACCCAAGUCGAUGGCCCUCGGCGUAAAGAGUGGUUAAGAUAUAUCCAAAACUAAAGCCAAAUGACUUCAAAGCUGUUAUACGCGCAUGAAAGUACGAAGCCCAAUCACGAAAGUGGCUUUAAACCCCUGAUUCCACGAAAGCUAUGACA